UAACCCCGCUGUAGAGAGACGAAUGGGAACCCUAAUCCCAAUUCGUUCCCGACUCCAGGGUCGGCCAAUUCCGGAUCCAGACCUGGCACAAUGAAGCCUGAAAAGAGAUUAAACAAGGUGUAACAAACAGAUGCCAUUAUUGAAGCCACUUGAACAUUUGGAGUCAAUGAAACCAGCAGCAUUCCGAGAAUACUAUUCCGAAGAUUAUGGAUGCAACAAGGAUGAAAAAUAUCCGCACCAUGUUAUAUGAAGGACUUCUCCAGUAAGACAAGGAUUGUUUCCAAAUGCAAGCUUUGAACUGUACCCAAAAUUUUUGUGGAUAGCGUGUUGAAAAGCUCAGGUCAUUUGAAUCCAGUGGUGGUGUGCUUAAGCGCUUAACCAACUCUUUGCUGUCCCUGCAUUGAGAAACGACCAUAGAAGAUUCUGGAAUAUGUAGGUCAUAUUGGCUUAUGUAAGCUGAUGUCUUCUCAGGCACAAAUUCUUCCAAUCCGAAGCCAUUGCCAAAAAAGAGAUACCUUGAGAGAUUUGUCUAAUUUUCCAGAGAGAGCUUUCAAGAAGGUGGUUUUUCCACAUCCUGGAAGUCCAAGUACCAGAGUCAUCCUGUAAACAAUACACACCUUGGCGAAGGUUGUCACUUUCAAUAUUCUUGAUGAGAUUUUCGAUGAGCAAGUGCCUUUCCAGUGCUCCAAGUUUGGUGACAUCAAUUACCUUCCUUUUGUUUUGUUCUCCAGAGCCAUUGUCACCAUCCCAAUGAUCAAAAACUGAUGUUCUCACUCGUUCGAAGUUCGAAACGAUGACCUCAUGCUCCUUCCUAUCUCUGCUAGUUCAGCAUCCAGCGACUCGGUUAUGUUUUCGCCCAACUGAGCCAUCCUUCAAAAUGUUUUGGUGCAACGAUUUUGCAUACCAAAGGAUCAGCUUUUAUAGAAGGCGAUCGACUCAGGUCGAAAUGUGGAGUUAACGUCAGGUACCGUCCCAACUGUUAGUGUUUCAACUGUGUUCGAGUCUCCUAAUAAUCUAUCUUUGACCACUACUUAAUUAGUAUUACUCAGUCAGUCCAUAUGCAAGCCCAUAGAAUAGAAACAAAAGAAAUGCUUCUAUAUCUGUCAGAUUAGCUUGUCGGAUGAUUAUGACAAUACUUGCAACCAUACUAAGCAAAGGUUUUACUUGGUAUUUUUGUGUGUAAAAUAGGUUUGAAAAUACAAGCUUAAUCUGUGGUUUUUCCAUCGUUAGUGGUUUGUUGUUAGUAGUUUGUUGCUGAUUAGCAAAAGGGCAAUUAAUACCUUGACCCUUCUGCCACUGGUACCUGAUGGUUGAU